UGCGUAGGUGGCAAGCGUUGUCCGGAUUUACUGGGUGUAAAGGGCGUGCAGCCGGGCUGACAAGUCAGAUGUGAAAUCCCGCGGCUCAACCGCGGAACUGCAUUUGAAACUGUCAGUCUUGAGUACCGGAGAGGUCAUCGGAAUUCCUUGUGUAGCGGUGAAAUGCGUAGAUAUAAGGAAGAACACCAGUGGCGAAGGCGGAUGACUGGACGGCAACUGACGGUGAGGCGCGAAAGCGUGGGGAGCAAACAGG
rnacentral:rRNA from 1 species